rnacentral:lncRNA from 1 species
ACAGGCACUGUGGACUGGGAGACGUCCUUUCAGAUGUGAAUGAGAAGAUGCUGGAGGGUCCCCAAAGACAGAAUAGAAAAAUUCUUUGCUGAAUUCAACCUACACCAGCUAUAGGGGUUGAAAAAUACAAUUUAAAAAUUAGUAUAUUCUAAAUUUGGACUCAAGGGCAGAUGGUUCAUAAUGAGCACAAAUGUCCAAGUUUUCCCAUCAGAUGGUCAUCAGAAGGACACCAUGGGCUACUCAAUAGGUAUUUAGUGACUGUGCAGAAAGGGCAGUCAUUUUAGAGAAUACAAAGAAGAUAGGGCUCCAAGGUAGUUAAAGCAAUGGAAAUAAGGCCAGCUCCCAUAAAUCACUUUUCAGAAAUAUCUCUCCAAUGGGGAAUGGGGGUGGGGUCAAAACAAGAUACAGUGAUAGAAAUGGUUGGUAGAUUAAAUUUUGUAACCUGAAUUUUUAAAGAUAAUAGGCAUUUAAAAUAUUUCAUCUCAUUGUCAGCACAAGUUUCCAGAAUUUUUGGCCAGAAAAUACAAUUGCUAAAAACAUAAGAUUAUUUGUCCAUGAAAUUGAUCAUGUACUUAAUAAAUAGGCCUACGAGAUAUCAGAAUGAGCCUAUAAUCUUUUGCCUCUUUGUUUUCCUUUGCUUGGCAUUAUGGUGAACUAUAUUUAGGAAGGCCAAACACGUUCUUCCUCAAACUUGGUUUCUCUUUGGCCAGACCCCAUGUUCCCUUGUUCCUUCCGUUUCACUGGGGUGUGCUCAAUGAAAAGUAUUUCAAUUUUAAUUUUUAUUAACCUCACAAAUUAUUUGCUGGUAAGAUUAAAAAAGAAGACACAUGAGCUGUGACACAGAAGAAAUAGUGUUAUUGGUGCUCAGUGGCUGAGGGUCAGAUUUCAGUUCCUUAUACUGGCUGUGUGACUUUGUACGAGUUCCUGAGUCUGUCUGGGUUUCAAAUCCUCACAGAAAAUGAGAAUUGGAACGGGUGAACUUUAAGCCUCCGCAAACUCCAACAUUUUAUGUGUCUAUGCAUUCCAAAGUCCAAUGUUAGUGAUAUUUAAACCCCUGGUACAGAUUAGUCACACAGAUGCAGCCUCCAUUAGUGUUAUCAAUACUCAUAGCUGACACUGAUUGAUUGCUUCCUUGGUGCCAGCUCUUUCUGAAAUCGAUUUCUGAAAUCUUACUUAUUUCUAAAAUAGCUGUGUGUGACAGGUGUUAUUAUUGCUACUUUAUAGAUGAUGAAACCGAGGCUAAGUGGGGCUAAGAAAUAGUUACGUAAGUUAUGAGGCUGAUUUUGAAAUUCAGGCUGUCUGACUCCAAAGCUUAUGCUUAAUCCAGAUACCCUGAACAGUACAAAGUUGACGAAUUUAUGAAUCAAUGAGGAAUAUCUCUCAGAAACACAAUUUUAAGGUGCAGAAUAUAACCCUGCACUAAACUUAUUUCAACCAGGUAUUUUUGUUCACUUAGAUUAUUUGUUUCUGGUUGAGAGAGCAGAUGAUUUAUUUGGUCGUUCGAGGGGUCUGUAU